rnacentral:rRNA from 1 species
AGGAGAGUGUUCUUCCACGUGUAGCGGUGAAAUGCGUAGAGAUGUGGAGGAACACCAGUGGCGAAGGCCUCUCUCUGGUCUGUAACUGACGCUGAGGAGCGAAAGCGUGGGGAGCAAACAGGAUUAUAUACCCUGGUACUCCACGCCGUAAACGAUGAUUGCUAAUUGUUAGGGGCCCUCCCCCCCUUACUGCUGCAGCUAACUGCAUUCACCACUCCGCCUGGAGAGUACGGUCGCAAGACUGAAACUCAUAGGAAUUGACGGGCGCCCGCACAAGCGGUGGAGCAUG